rnacentral:rRNA from 1 species
CCCUUAGAUGCUCUGGGCCGCACGCGCGCUACACUGGUCGAUGCAACGAGUUUCUUUCCUUGGCCGACAGGCCUGGGCAAUCUUUGAACAUCGAUCGUGAUCGGGAUAGAUUCUUGUAAUUUUUGAUCUUAAACGAGGAAUUCCUAGUAAACGCAAGUCAUCAGCUUGCAUUGAUUACGUCCCUGCCCUUUGUACACACCGCCCGUCGCACCUACCGAUUGAAUGGUCCGGUGAAAUCUCCGGACUGGCGUGAGUCGGAGCAAUCUGACAAACACCGGAAAGUUGAUUAAACCUUACCAUUUAGAGGAAGGUGAAGUCGUAAUA